ACUAGCACUAUAAACAGCAACAACGUGAGAGGAAGGCAUCCCCAGCCCCUUCGCCUUUAAAAUGCCAUGGAAGCAGUGGCUUUCAGCAGAACACCUUAUCUGCUCUCGAGAGCUGUGACUCUUCAUCCUUUCCUUAUGAAGACCCAGGGGAUUGCUUACUUAGCAUCCACCAGAGGCAAUGGAUAGGGUGAGCAGUCACUGCAGCCAGAAAAGCCCAGCACGGAGCAAAGGCAAUUACCUCCGCACGCAGAGACUUUGGAGCUGAAUUGUGCUGAACGGAGAACCCCUCCGGCUGGCAGAGCCAUGUGCGGCCGAGAAGAGCAGCCACUUUCGCUCCGCUGAAAAGCAAUGCAGGAACCCUCGUGGUGUACGGUGCUGCUGGGUGCAAUCAUUAAGGCAAUGAGCAAACACUCUCCACUUGUUGUCCAACUUUGAAGACGGGCAGAUCUACAAGACUCUGUCACACCAUUACAAUGCUUGGGAUUCUCUGUGUUUGCCACGGGGAUUUUCUGGAAAGAAGCAGAUUCUCCAGUUCAGAAAACAACUGAUGCCACUUCGUAUCAUUUUUAUCAUUGAGCCACAUCUCAGAAAUGACCUUUUUAAGAGUUGUCUGAAGAAUGGGAACAGGUUGGUACUCACAUUCCAGCAAGUAGAAAGAAAAAUCUAACCCAGAAUGCUCCUAGCAUCCUACUUUGGGUCUUGAUUCCAAAUCAGCAGGCAGCAAUGAGGAGACUGGAUCAGAACUCAGCAGACUUCCAUUUAAGGCAGAUAAGAAUGCUGUUAGUAAUCAACAACUACUUAAAUUUGCAAAACUUAUCCUUUUGUGGAGCAAAAGAUAAAAAGGAGCACAAACAAACCUGACCUUGCAAUCACUCACCUUUGUGAGCAAUCUUCUCUUUUGCAAAUAGGCUGCCUCUCAUCAGUGCCUUUAUUUGCUUAAGUCCUUGCAGAUACAUUAAAGAUUUAUAGUAGAGCUGUUACAGGCAAUGAAGGAAGUUAUAUGUCACCCUUUUGUUUUCUAAUAGUGGUUUGAUUUAAACUAUGGGGAACAAAGGAAGUAAUAUUUUAAAAGAGGAAUGAAAACAUAAUGCAGCCACAAAUAAAGUCUGGUCAUACAUGGAACUUAAGCAGAUAAAAUGACUUUUGUCAUGAAGAAACACUGUGCCUCAGUAGUAUUUUGUAUCGGUGCUUCCCAGACUAGGAUUGGUUUAAACUGUCCUUAAGACACCCUCAGAUCUCCAAAUGUAGCUGGAGCAAACCAGAAAAUGGGUAAAAUAACAAGCAUCUCUGAACAAAAUGGAAACAAACAAAACCAGUAAAUUAAGAUUUGGAAAGGAAAUGAAAGCAGCAUAUCCUCCGCAAAGUUUAUUUAAGCAGCAUUCAGUACGAAAGCUUUUAUUACCUUUAAUCUGAGAGGAAAAUAAGCAAUGGGUCACCUCAGUGGGUCCCAGAUGGAUAUACCU
ensembl:lncRNA